GAUGAACGCUGGCGGCGUGCCUAAUACAUGCAAGUCGAGCGAACAGACGAGGAGCUUGCUCCUCUGACGUUAGCGGCGGACGGGUGAGUAACACGUGGAUAACCUACCUAUAAGACUGGGAUAACUUCGGGAAACCGGAGCUACUACCGGAUAAUAUAUUGAACCGCAUGGUUCCAUAGUGAAAGACGCUUUUGCUGUCACUUAUAGCUGGAUCCGCGCCGCAUUAGCUAGUUGGUAAGGUAACGGCUUACCAAGGCAACGAUGCGUAGCCGACCUGAGAGGGUGAUCGGCCACACUGGAACUGAGACACGGUCGAGACUCCUACGGGAGGCAGCAGUAGGGAAUCUUCCGCAAUGGGCGAAAGCCUGACGGAGCAACGCCGCGUGAGUGAUGAAGGUCUUCGGAUCGUAAAACUCUGUUAUUAGGGAAGAACAAAUGUGUAAGUAACUAUGCACGUCUUGACGGUACCGAAUCAGAAAGCCACGGCUAACUACGUG
rnacentral:rRNA from 1 species